rnacentral:rRNA from 1 species
GACGUAGGGCGCGAGCGUUGUCCGGAUUUAUUGGGCGUAAAGAGCUCGUAGGCGGUCUGUCGCGUCUGCUGUGAAAACCCGGGGCUCAACCCCGGGCUUGCAGUGGAUACGGGCAGACUAGAGUUCGGUAGGGGAGACUGGAAUUCCUGGUGUAGCGGUGAAAUGCGCAGAUAUCAGGAAGAACACCCGUGGCGAAAGCGGCUCUCUGGAACGGUACUGACGCUGAGACGCGAAAGCGUGGGAGCGAACAGG